UGUGGGAGCGAGCCUGCUCGCGAUGGCGUCGGUUCAGCCCGCAUCCCUGUUGAAUGUGUCACCGUUAUCGCGAGCAGGCUCGCUCCCACA
rnacentral:misc_RNA from 1 species